GACGAACGCUGGCGGCGUGCCUAAUACAUGCAAGUAGAACGCUGAAGGAGGAGCUUGCUUCUCUGGAUGAGUUGCGAACGGGUGAGUAACGCGUAGGUAACCUGCCUGGUAGCGGGGGAUAACUAUUGGAAACGAUAGCUAAUACCGCAUAAGAGUAGAUGUUGCAUGACAUUUGCUUAAAAGGUGCAAUUGCAUCACUACCAGAUGGCCCUGCGUUGUAUUAGCUAGUUGGUGGGGUAACGGCUUACCAAGGCGACGAUACAUAGCCGACCUGAGAGGGUGAUCGGCCACACUGGGACUGAGGCACGGCCCAGACUCCUACGGGAGGGAGCAGUAGGGAAUCUUCGGCAAUGGACGGAAGUCUGGCCGAGCAACGCCGGGUGAGGGAAGAAGGGUUUCGGAUCGUAAAGCUCUGUUGUAAGAGAAGAACGAGUGUGAGAGUGGAAAGUUCACACUGUGACGGUAUCUUACCAGAAAGGGACGGCUAACUACGUG
rnacentral:rRNA from 1 species